rnacentral:rRNA from 1 species
GGCCGUCGUCAGUUCGUACUGUGAAGCAUCCUGUUAAGUCAGGCAACGAGCGAGACCCACGCCAACAGUUGCCAGCUCGUCCUCCGGGAUGGUGGGGACGACUGUUGGGACCGCCUCUGCUAAAGAGGAGGAAGGAAUGGGCAACGGUAGGUCAGCAUGCCCCGAAUUAUCUGGGCUACACGCGGGCUACAAUGGGUGGGACAAUGGGUAUCGACACCGAAAGGUGAAGGCAAUCUCCUAAACCCAUCCGUAGUUCGGAUUGUGGGCUGCAACUCGCCCACAUGAAGCUGGAAUCUGUAGUAAUCGUGUCUCAAAUGGCACGGUGAAUAUGUCCCUGCUCCUU